rnacentral:rRNA from 1 species
CCUACGGGGGGCUGCAGUAGGGAAUCUUCCACAAUGGACGAAAGACUGAUGGAGCAACGCCGCGUGAGUGAAGAAGGGAUUCGGCUCGUAAAGCCCUUUUUGUAGGGAAGCAAGAUAUAGGUAGUAACUGCCCUUUAUUUGACGGUAAUUACUUAGAAAGUCUCGGCUAACUACGUGCCAGCAGCCGCGGUGAUGCGGAGGUGGCAAGCGUUGUCCGGAUUUAUUGGGCGUAAAGCGAGUGCAGGCGGUUCAUUAAGGCUGAUGUGAAAGCCUUCGGCUCAACCGGAGACUUGCAGCUGAAACUGUCGAACUUGAGUGCAGAAGAGGAGAGUGGAACGCCAGGUGUAGCGGUGGAAUGCGUAGAUAUCGGGAAGAACACCAGUGGCGAAGGCGGCUUUCUGGUCUGAAACUGACGCUGAGGCUCGAAAGCGUGGGUAGCGAACAGGAUUAGAUACCCUUGUAGUC